UUCAAACACAUGAGUCUAUGGGGGCGUG
rnacentral:piRNA from 1 species